GGGGAUGUGGUGUAGCCUGGUUUAACACACUGCCCUGUCAAGGCAGAGAUCGCGGGUUCAAAUCCCGUCGUCCCCG
rnacentral:tRNA from 1 species